rnacentral:rRNA from 1 species
UACGGGGGGGGGUAAGCGUUGUUCGGAAUUACUGGGCAUAAAGGGCUCGUAGGCGGCCAACUAAGUCAUACGUGAAAUCCCUCAGCUUAACUGGGGAACUGCGUGUGAUACUGGAUGGCUUGGAUUUGGGAGAGGGAUGCGGAAUUCCCGGUGUAGUGGUGAAAUGCGUAGAGAUCGGGAGGAACACCCGUGGCGAAGGCGGCUCACUGGGCUGACCUUGACGCUGAGGCGCGAAGGCGUGGGGAGCGAACGGG